UCACCCUGGUAGCAAAUAAACAGAACAUCCACCCUUCCAGUUGUCUCAUCAUCUGAGUGCCUUGACGAAUUUCAAACUAGUUAUGCUUGGGGUUGUAAUCUGGUAAUCUUUAUUGAGGCUUUGGUUCCAAUUUUAGUUGUGCCCCCACUGUGUUAUCUUGUGACUUUAUUCUGCGUGUGGGUUCAUGAUAUUUAUUCUGAAUUUGCUUCACUAGAUGCUUGAUGGGUUCCGAUAUUGACCGGGACAAAAAGAACAUACCAUACUUUUUUUUUUCAAAACAACUUUUCAAUAAAUCAGAACAACUUUUUUUUUUUUUUCAAAAAAGAACAUACCAUACUUUUCAAUAAAUUUAAGUUUAGUAUAGUAGUUUAGUAUAGUAUUUUUUUUUUAUUAAAGUUUAGUAUAGUAUUUCGCAUGCAUAAAAUAGACAAAGUCGGUAAGAGUCUUUAACUUAAUUUAUCUACAGAUUUUUCCACUGAUAUUCUGAUUUGCCUUUUGCUAUUGACAUCUCCUUUUCACCUGUGUUAAUUGACACAGAUGAAUUCUGUAACUUGUCGAAUUUUGUUAAUUGACACUAUAUUCUAUAACUUGUAGGUUGAAACUGUUAAGCUCAAACUGAAACUUGUUGCUUGUAGGCUAAAACUUGCUGCUUGGAAAUUAUUGGAACUGAGCAAAAAUAUCAUCUGCUGCUGCUGAAUUUUGCUUUGUAUGAACAGAAGCACAAGAAUUCUUUAGAUGCUUCAGGUCAUGAUAGUGAUGGUGGAGGCGGUGAAUGUGAUGGUAGUAGAGACCAAAGCGACGGUGGAGGUGGCGGCUGCGGCUACGAAAGAAAGCAUGGGCAAUGACAGUGGAGAUCGAGGUGGCGGCAAAAGUAAAAGCAAAUCUCACCCUCUUAGAGACCAAUGCCAAAUCACUCUCUCUCUGUCAUCACUCCCUUGCCUCCCUCCAGAGCUCUUGAUCGACACAGAAGUCGGCGCCGAUCGUGAUCGCAAAAUGGUGACGUUGGAGGUCUGAGUCGGGAUGAGGCGUGAGGCACGCACGUAAUGAGAGUAGAGUUCUCGGCUUGAUUAUCAUCAGUUCUAGACCCAUCGCUCUUUUGCUUUGAAUAAUGAAUUAGACUAUCGCGGUUCAGUUUAUCCUUAAUUAACUUGGUUAUUAUUUCAUUCAUAUUAUGGCUUUGAAAAUUAAAUAAAAGUAUUUGUGGUUUUCAUGUGGAUUUAUGGAAAUGGUUUUCUAACUCUCGUGGUAGUCUGUUUUUUAAAGAAAAAGUUUUCGUGUGGAAAACGGUUUAAAAAAAAAAAAUUUGCUUUUCGUGAUUCUAAUAUUUCAAAAUGAGUUUUCAGGUGGGAAACGUUUUUAAAUAAUAGAUGUAAAUUUAUAAA